GAGGCCGAAUCAUUAGCGGGUCAGUAAUGAAACCCUAGCUACGACAAUCCCUAUUUAAAUCUCGAUUCAUUGUUUUCGCUGAUGAAAUUCAUUGUGGACGUGAUCAAAGAAUCCAGAUGAUGAAGUAAUAUGAGUUUUAUGCUUAACACUCUGAUUAUACUGUGGUGACUACGAACUCCGCUUAUUAUCUGAUGCCAGAAUGAGUAAAUUACUUAUUGAGAGUCCUGUGUUUUAGCGGUUUUGACCACUUGAGUCUAAAAUCAAAAAGUUUAACGCCUGAGUCUCUAACCACUUAUUUUAUAACGUUUUGAGUCCAAUUUAUAACACUUACUUUAUAACGUUUUGAGUCCAAUUUAUAACACUUACUUUUUAUUUUGGGCUCAAGUGGUUAAAAGCACUAAUAUGCAGGGACUCAAAACGUUAUAAAUGAGCGGUUAGGGACUCAGGUUGUUAAACUUUUUUAUUUUGAACUCAACCGGUUAAAACCACUAAAACACUAAAACACAAGGACUCAAAAAGUAAUUUACUCCAGAACGUUUUAAAUUUAAAUUUUUGAUGAUGAGAUUGAGGCAGACGGGCGGUCUGAAAUGAUGCCGUGUUGAUUGUCUGCAUAUUAUCCAUUCUUAUGAUGGAUUCAACUCUGAGAUUUUCAAAAUUUAUUUCUUUCAUUGUUUUUGUCAGUUUUAUCAUAAGUUUUUUUACUAUUAUUAUUUGGAACAUUUUGGGACAUUUCAGGUUAAGGGUUUGUGGCAGUGCUAUGAUGAGUAUGCAAAUAUAUAUAUAUAUGUAUGUGUGGACUUAUGAGACAUUGUCUAUAAAUGAUGAGCAUACUUCUGGACUAGUUAUUUCUGAUUCAGUUAGAAUUCUUAUUGUAUUUGUAUACGUGUAUUAUCGUUAGAAUCAUCUAUUAUCAUAAAAUUUCACUUAGGAGUU